GUACUCGAGUGGCGAACGGGUGAGUAACACGUGGGUGAUCUGCCCUGCACUCUGGGAUAAGCCUGGGAAACUGGGUCUAAUACCGGAUAGGACCAUGCUUUAGUGUGUGUGGUGGAAAGUUUUUCGGUGUAGGAUGAGCCCGCGGCCUAUCAGCUUGUUGGUGGGGUAAUGGCCUACCAAGGCGGCGACGGGUAGCCGGACUGAGAGGUUGGUCGGCCACAUUGGGACUGAGAUACGGCCCAG
rnacentral:rRNA from 1 species